CCUACGGGUGGCAGCAGUGAGGAAUAUUGGUCAAUGGACGGAAGUCUGAACCAGCCAUGCCGCGUGCAGGAAGACGGCUCUAUGAGUUGUAAACUGCUUUUGUACAAGGGUCAACCUGAAUACGUGUAUUCAGCUGAAAGUACUGUACGAAUAAGGAUCGGCUAACUCCGUGCCAGCAGCCGCGGUAAUACGGAGGAUCCAAGCGUUAUCCGGAUUUAUUGGGUUUAAAGGGUGCGUAGGCGGGAUGCCAAGUCAGCGGUAAAAAUGCGGUGCUCAACGCCGUCGAGCCGUUGAAACUGGCGUUCUUGAGUGGGCGAGAAGUAUGCGGAAUGCGUGGUGUAGCGGUGAAAUGCAUAGAUAUCACGCAGAACUCCGAUUGCGAAGGCGGCCUGCUGGACUGCAACUGACGUUGAGGCCCGAAAGCGUGGGGAGCAAACAGGAUUAGAUACCCCAGUAGUC
rnacentral:rRNA from 1 species